UUUAAAUAUGGCAGAGCCCAUCAGCUGCAAGCCUUAAAGUGAGUGUUUUGUAAAUAGGUGUGUGGCCCCUCUAGCCUAGCUGGCUACUGGCUUGGGGAAGGACUUGGAGCCAGACUGUAAAAGAAGAGCCAAGCGGUGGUACAGGGAGAAAGCAGCAAGUAAGGCUGCCAUUGCCAUCAGGAGCAGUGUGAGUUGGGCACGAGGAAGCAAUGAAGUCCCAGAAUCAGGAAGAGGGUGGCUAGAUUUCACCAGGACAGAACAGUUCCUUAAAGUGAUAACUCAUACUUGCCAAAUCCAGUGGACCUGAGAAUGCCAAGACAGCUGGGCUGGAGAGAGAGAAGAAAGACAUGGUGAGGAUUCUUAGAUCUUACUGUCACUAAGAAUAAAAGACCAAUGGACAGCUACAGAUGUCAGGGAAGCUGAAUGUCAUUAUAGCAUGGAAAGAGCAACAUAGCUCCUGUGUGAUUAGCUGCCAACAACAAAUUUCACAAUAAGCUUUUCCUGCAAAAACUCAAUACAGUAAGAAAACUGGAGAGAAACCAAAACCUUUCUCCUGCAGUUUAAGUGACGCAUAAACUCAUUUAUAAUCAACCCCAUGAUGGUGGGCUUGAAAUUAGGCAAAACAGCUCUGCUCCUCUCUAAUCAGGAGCCAUCAAUCUUUGACGAAUCAGGCAGUUGGAAAGAGACAAAAUAAUUUUGAAAGUGGUUAUGAUGCUGACAGACCAGGUGCCAGCACAUGCAAAGAUUCCUAAGCCUCAACUGAACACUGACAAAUGCAGAGCUGAAACCCGUUUGGCUCAGCUGUGUUAGUGCUGUUAAAAUAGGUAUUAGAGUUAUAAAAGUGUUUAGCCUUUUUGAAAUGCUUGUAGGAAUGGAGCAUGUAUUAAUCUCACAUAUAAUAUCUGUACCCCAUGUUACAAGAUAUUAAGUGUAUGCAUUGUAAUCCUCUGUAAUUAUGUAAGUCAAACAGGAAAGAAGCAUUAAUCAGGAUAAAAUGCUGGCCUCCUCCAGAAAGUGUUAGGUCCUGCUCACCAUGAAGGCCCAUCAAAAUCAAAUGAGCCAUUGUGAAACAUCAAAGAACAAAGACUUUAAUUGCAUCCCUCCCUGUUUCCCCCCACCCCAUGAAGAGGAGAGGUGUGCAUGAACUCAUCCCAUCAGCUUGAACUCUGGGGUAAUGGGAAUAAAAAUUCCUAACAAGGAAAAACGGUAUCUCUGUGUUGUUUGGACUUUGUGAGGGCAAGAUUUCUAAGCAUAAUCAAGGGAUCCCCAACUGCUUAGUCUGGAUCAGCCCUAAAAGACAUGCUAUAAUAUGUAAGCUAUAUACAACUUCUACCAUCUUACCUACCUAAGACUGUAACUCAUGUGUGUGCAUACGUUUACCUGAUUUAGCCUUGUAAAUAACUCAUGUCCUU